GGAUUAGAAACCCGGGUAGUCCACGCCCUAAACGAUGCAUAUUUGGUGUGGGCCAUUCAUUUGGUCUGUGCCGGAGCUAACGCGUUAAAUAUGCCGCCUGGGGAGUACAGUCGCAAGGCUGAAACUCAAAGGAAUUGACGGGGGCCCGCACAAGCGGUGGAGCAUGUGGUUUAAUUCGACGCAACGCGAAGAACCUUACCUGGGCUCGAAAUGCUAUGGACCAGCUUAUGAAAGUAGGCCUUCCCGCAAGGGACCGUAGUAUAGGUGCUGCAUGGCUGUCGUCAGCUCGUGUCGUGAGAUGUUGGGUUAAGUCCCGCAACGAGCGCAACCCUUGUCCUGUGUUGCCAUCAUUCAGUUGGGAACUCGCAGGAGACCGCCAGGGAUAACCUGGAGG
rnacentral:rRNA from 1 species